CUACUAAAAACAGAUGCAUUCAGCGAGGCAGAAGAAGAUGGCUGGAAAGGAUCAGACCAAGACAGCAGCAGUGCAUGGCACCCCCAUCUUCCGAGCCGUCUAAACGAAACGCCAAGGAAGUAACAGCAUCUCGGAUCUCCAGAGAUUUAACGAGCCGCUUCGUGCAACUCGCCCACCGACCGCCUCUCCAUCACCAAGCAUCCCUUGUCGAGAUCACCUGCGCUCCGGGCGAGGAGGCGAGAACCAGGGAAUCGGUUACCUGAAGUGAGGCCUCUCUCGUGGCAACGUGGUUCUCUCUCGGGUCCUCCUCCGGGGGCCGGGGUGGGGGUCCAGCCGGGUCCAACCCUCGCUCUCCAGGGCCGGGGGGAGGGGAGGGGGCUGCCGGGGUUCCUCAACACCACGCUCUCUCCUCCCUGGUCCUCCGCCGGAGAGCCUCUCUCCUCCUCGGCCGAAGCCAGCGUCAAGCAACCAUGUAUUACUCCGCGACAACACGGGAAGCUCUCCUGCUUUUCAAAAUAAAUUACACGUUUUCUGACGUUGUGGCAUUUAAAUAAAAAAUAUUAUUUCAAUCAUUUACGUUAACAUAUUGAGCUUCAAGAAAUAAAUUGUGCGUUUACAAAGUGUAGCCAGAGCUGGGCUGACAUAAACAACAUCCAAGUUUGCUAGCACUAAGCAUUUCCAUUAGCAUUCACACUUGUUUAGUUAAUCCAUAAAUAACUCAAAC